UACCAGCACCCCGAGUGGUCGGGACGUUUAUUGGGCCUAAAGCAUCCGUAGCCGGUUCUACAAGUCUUCCGUUAAAUCCACCUGCUUAACAGAUGGGCUGCGGAAGAUACUAUAGAGCUAGGAGGCGGGGAGAGGCAAGCGGUACUCGAUGGGUAGGGGUAAAAUCCGUUGAUCCAUUGAAGACCACCAGUGGCGAAGGCGGCUUGCCAGAACGCGCUCGACAGUGAGGGAUGAAAGCUGGGGGGAGCAAACCGG
rnacentral:rRNA from 1 species